rnacentral:tRNA from 1 species
GAAUCAAGAAAAUCAAGAAAAAGCUUCUAACUUUCAUUCUUAAGCGGAGUAUUACCGUUUUUGAUUCA